GUCCCUGUAGAGCAAUGGAUGCCGCGUUGGACUUCUAAUCCAAAGGUCGUGGACUCGAGUUCCACCUGGGAUG